CAUCUGUGGACACCCCAUCGAGUCGCCUUCGAAGCGACCCCAGGU
rnacentral:rRNA from 1 species